rnacentral:rRNA from 1 species
AAUAGAUACCCCGGUAGUCCACGCCGUAAACUAUGGAUGCUAGCCGUCGGCAAGCUUGCUUGUCGGUGGCGCAGCUAACGCUUUAAGCAUCCCGCCUGGGGAGUACGGCCGCAAGGUUAAAACUCAAAGGAAUCGACGGGGGCCCGCACAAGCGGUGGAGCAUGUGGUUUAAUUCGACGCAACGCGAAGAACCUUACCAGCUCUUGACAUGUCAGGUCGGUUUCCAGAGAUGGAUUCCUCCCAGCAAUGGGCCUGAACACAGGUGCUGCAUGGCUGUCGUCAGCUCGUGUCGUGAGAUGUUGGGUUAAGUCCCGCAACGAGCGCAACCCUCGCCAUUAGUUGCCAUCAUUCAGUUGGGCACUCUAGUGGGACUGCCGGUGAUAAGCCGGAGAAGGUGGGAUGACGUCAAGUCAUCAUGGCCCUUACGGGCUGGGCUACACACGUGCUACAAUGGCGGUGACAAUGGGCAGCAACACAGCAAUGUGAAGCUAAUCUCAAAAAGCCGU